AAGAGCUGCUGUACCAUCAGUACCCUUAAGUACAGUCAGAUUAGAUUUCUGGAAUUUGUGAGAAAACACUGUUAUGACAUUGAUGAUGUGAUUCUCCACCCUUUGAAUCAUGAAUUAGAAAAUUGGUAUCAGAAUAGUCAGGAAAAAUGAUCUGAUUUCAAAUAUUAACUUUAGGGAUUGAAUACUUGCAGUUUUUUGGAGUCAGGAAGCCAAAACAGGACUGCAAUGGAGACUAGUAGAUUUUUAAAUAAUUCUGCAGGCUUAGGGCCAAGCCAGCCUUAAAUCACUUAAGGCCAGGGGUAGCUGACCUGGAAUCAGUGAAUUUUUCACAUAGUUAUCUCCACCUCUACAGACUGAAAGAACAAAACCAGAAGAUGUCCUCAGAAAAUGAGAAGAUGGGAAUCAGAGUGGAUCAGCUUCAGGCCCAGCUGUCAACUCAAGAGAAAGAAAUGGAGAAGCUUGUUCAGGCAGAUCAAGAUAAGACAGAGCAGUUAGAGCAGCUGAAAAAGGAAAAUGACCACCUCUUUCUCAGUUUAACUGAACAGGUAGAGUCAUGAGAGAA
rnacentral:sRNA from 1 species